GCAGCCUCAGCCCAGUCAUGCCAGAUGCAAUGGGGUAGAGAUCCAUGCCAGCCUCAACUGAUUGAGCGGACCACAACUCAGUGCCAGAGCAUCUGAGGUCCCGUCCUGGGUUCUACACCCCGGCUUCUCCAGGUGGAGCUGGGAAUAUCCCCUGCCUGAAGACCUGGAGAGCCGCUUCCUUCACUCUCAUUUCGUCAGCAAUUUGAUGCCAUUUUCCAUUCUGGUUUCUCUUGGACUUACCCAGCUGCCGGGCUCUUCCUAUGUUUAAUCACCGGCAGGCUGCUCUGUUUUUAUCUCAAAUCAUCAUUAUCCUGUGAAGUUUUAUUGGGAGUGUAAACUACCUUGAACGUUCUCAGACAAACAGCUUCCGAGCUCAGCAAACGUUUGGCAUUAAUCCACUUGAGAGAAAGAGGUACUUGUAGCCUAGAAUUCCAUCUUCAUGGCGUGAUGUGCUUCAAUAAAAGAGAAAGCAGCAAUUAAAAGGAAAAAACACAAAAAGGGGAUUGUGGCUUACGCAGCAGAAUCCAGCUCAGAAAAUGUGGCCAGCGUCCAGAUCGCUCGGUGUUUGUGCAUCUGUGUGACUGCUGAAGGCUUUCGGCAAGCCCUCCCUCGCCUGCCCGGCCAGGAGGUGUUCGGCGCUGGCAUCCAAAAUUGCAACAGGCUGUGCAAGACUGUAAGUUGCCAAGCAAUGGUGGUGGUGUCUCCCUCCCCCCAAAUUUCCUUUCUGUCUUUCUUCUGACUCUGCAGUUCCCGAGUUUGCUCC